CCUACGGGUGGCUGCAGCGGGGAAUAUUGCACAAUGGGCGCAAGCCUGAUGCAGCCAUGCCGCGUGUGUGAAGAAGGCCUUCGGGUUGUAAAGCACUUUCAGCGGGGAGGAAGGCGGUGAGGUUAAUAACCUCAUCGAUUGACGUUACCCGCAGAAGAAGCACCGGCUAACUCCGUGCCAGCAGCCGCGGUAAUACGGAGGGUGCAAGCGUUAAUCGGAAUUACUGGGCGUAAAGCGCACGCAGGCGGUCUGUCAAGUCGGAUGUGAAAUCCCCGGGCUCAACCUGGGAACUGCAUUCGAAACUGGCAGGCUAGAGUCUUGUAGAGGGGGGUAGAAUUCCAGGUGUAGCGGUGAAAUGCGUAGAGAUCUGGAGGAAUACCGGUAGCGAAGGCGGCCCCCUGGACAAAGACUGACGCUCAGGUGCGAAAGCGUGGGGAGCAAACAGGAUUAGAUACCCGUGUAGUC
rnacentral:rRNA from 1 species